rnacentral:ncRNA from 2 species
CACAUCGAAGAGGUCGCAACUGACAUCAAUAAAAAUAACUAGUCUGCUGUUAAGACGAUGAAGUUAUUUUGAAAGGGGAAGUUGCCGAAGUGGGCACUUAAACAGCUAAGUGUUGGCUGGGACAUGAUUGAACAAGUCAUGGACUGUCGCAAUAAUUGCGGAGAGCUAUCGACAAA